GACGCCGCCGGGCUGAGAGACGAGCUUGCGGGGUUUGCGGUUGAUGGCUCCGACUGAAGGGCUGGAGGCGGCGUAUGCCGCUGUUCUUGCUGUCGCUCCGGACACCUCCGUCCGCUUCUGGUCAUGAGAGGAGACAGAGGCCUGAAGCAAAGACAUCUGGGUCAGAAAAAAAGUAUUUAAGGGCCAUGCAAGCCAAUCGUAGCCAACUGCACAGUCCUCCAGGAACUGGAAGCAGUGAGGAUGCCUCAGCCCCUCAGUGUGUCCACACAAGAUUGACAGAAGGUUCUUGUCUUCAUUCUGGAGAUGUUCAUAUCCAGAUAAACUCCAUACCUAAAGAAUGUGCAGAAAAUGCAAGCUCCAGAAAUAUAAGGUCAGGUGUCCAUAGCUGUGCCCAUGGAUGUGUACACAGUCGCUUACGGGGUCACUCCCACAGUGAAGCAAGGCUGCCUGAUGAUACUGCCGCAGAAUCUGGAGAUCACGGUAGUAGCUCCUUCUCAGAAUUCCGCUAUCUCUUCAAGUGGCUGCAAAAAAGUCUUCCAUAUAUUUUGAUUCUGAGUGUCAAACUUGUUAUGCAGCAUAUAACAGGAAUUUCUCUUGGAAUUGGGCUGCUAACAACUUUUAUGUAUGCAAACAAAAGCAUUGUAAAUCAGGUUUUUCUAAGAGUAAGUAUAACAAGCAACUAAAAAAUUAUUAACUGUUUCUCUCCAUAGACUUUAGAGAAAUAAUUUUGAGAGAAAUAGGAAAUAACUUGAAGGAAAUAGGAAGUAAUAGGAUAUAUUGUAACAUCCAUGAUUUAUUAAAUUUGUAAUCUAAAUCCUGGAAUAAAUUAUCUCUCCUAAUGCUGAAUUCCUUUACCUUACCUUCUUUGUAAGAAAAAAAAA
rnacentral:sRNA from 1 species